rnacentral:lncRNA from 1 species
GAGUACAAAUCAAAGUAGCUAAAUACUCUUAGUUGACUUCUUUCUCCUUCUCCUUCCCCUUUGCCUUAGAGCUUUGGAAAGCUUAUCUCUCUACAGUUUCAGCAACCAAAACAACACAUUUAAAUAUAAUUAAACUCCAUUCAAGUCUUUUCUAAAUUUAUGCAAGACUAGGGAACAAUUCCUACUUACUCUCCACACAAAUUUCAAUUACCCAAAGUUGUUUCUUUUACAAUUGUUACACUAGACUUCCAAUUCUACCUUGCUUGAUCUUUAGCUUUCCCUAACCUUUUCUAUAUUUCUUCUCCAUCUCUAAAACACCCAUGGAAGAGAAGAAAGGAAUUGAAGGAAGGUUGGAAGUCUUAGUCUUUGCUAGCCAAAUUUCCCUCUCCUCCAAAAGCUUCAAUUUCCUUUCAAUUCUUCCUUCCUUGCUCUCUUAAUUGCUACCGCACCUUCACUUGCUCUCUUUCUCUUUGAUCUCCACUAAUUUUUGGGUGUUGAAUGAAGAAAAGUUUGCUGAAGACGUGAGGCUACGGCUGGCUGAAAUUUGAAGGUGAAAGAAGGAGAAGAGAAAGAAAUGUGGAGAAGAAAAAGGAAAUGAAGAUGGUGGAAUGGUGAUGUUCUCCACUAAGCAUUAAACUAAUACAUUCUCAUAUUUAGUUUCUUCUUUCUCUUCUUUUUAUAAUUAAUUAACAAUUUUAUUUAUAUUUAUAUACUAUAAAUUUUUGAAGUCUUAGUUUCACUAUUCUAAUUAUUCCUUAG